CAACAAACCGGUCCGACGUGUCGUCUGCAGUCUGCAUCUUUUUUAAAGUUGAAUAUUGCUUUUUGCCAGGCUCUGUUCUUUCUAAUUAAAAUUAACACUUAUUUUAUCAAAAAUUAAACACAGAAAGUUUGGCCUUAUUGUAAGUUGUCCAAUUCUCAUUUGUCUGAAUAGUUAAGUUACUUAUUUUGUUAAAGGGUGCUAAAAACGCAAGCAAAUGUUGGUGUUAUUAAAGAAGACAAUCCCAAACUCAAAAUCAAAACAGAGCAGAAAUCACCUUACUAAAGACCUAAGUUACCUUUAGAAAGACGUUUUCGUGAAAUUUUGAAAGAAAUCUAUGAUGCAGAAAUGAUUGUUUACAUACAUUUCCCCAAUUACAAAGUUUCAGCAAUUAACUUAAUGCAAUGGAUAUGGUGAUGUUGCUUUAAGCAUUGUGUUAAUGUUCAAGGAGUAUGGAGAGAGAUUUUUUGGGAGUUUUAAUAAUUCUGCUAAAGCAUCUCAACAGAACUCGAUGAUGGGUUAGCAAGAAAAAUCACAACACAUUUUUCUGGUCUAAGCAAAAACAGAAAUGUUUGUUUUAAUAACUCUGUAAAAACACCCCACCAAAAACAAGAUUAUGGUUUUCCCAUUGAAACUACAAGUUCUUUUCCGAAGUGAAACUGCAGUCUAUUACUACUGCAUCACAAGUUUCUGAAGCCAGAUUCAUCGACUGUUAUGAGUCCUGGCAGCUUCAGGAGUGACAAGAGGAUUUUUGUUAAUGGGUGCUAAAAAAUCAAAUGCUGGUGUUUCUAAAGAAGAGAAACCCAAACCCAAAUCAUGGCAGAGCAAACACCGCCUAAAACUUGACAUUUUUCGUCGUUGCGAAACUUUGAAAGAAGAAUGCUGAAAUUAUAAUAUUUAUACAUUUUCCCAGUUCUAAAGAUACCGCAACUUAUUGCAAUGCAUAUGUUGGUGUUGCCUUAAGCUAUGUAUCUAGGUUCAAGGGGUACGGAGAAAAGUUUUUGAGAGAAGUACUAAAUCUGCUGAAGCACCUCGACAAGAACUAGAUGAUUUAUCGAGUGAAAUUACAAGAAAUAUUCCUGAUGGAAGUGAAAACACAGAUGAUAGUGAUAGCCUAAAUAACUCUGUUAAAGCACCUCAGCAAGAACUAAAUGAGAAUGGCUCUUCCAAUAAAAAUUAUAACUGAUUUUACAUUCCAAACUGAAACUACAGCGGAUUUCUUCUGCAUCAUAAAUUUUUGAAGUUCCAUUAGUUCCAUAUUCAUCGACGGUUGUUACGCGUCGAGGAGUGACAAGAGGACUUAAAAGAUUUUCCAGUGUCCUUGAGAACAAAAGGAGAAAUUGGUAUGGAAAAAGGAAGAGGACAGAUGAAUGUUGUAUUUCCCGUAAUGCUACGUACAUCUAGCGCAUCUCCUCCCUUCUCGCCUACCCCUAGUCUUUCUCCUACUCCUACAGCGUCGCUUUCGUCUUGUCCACCUAAGACCGAUACUGUUUUAAAGGUGAAGAAUAAAGAUGUCAUCAAACCUCUCAAGGGUUAUUUUUACGGGGACCUGAAGGAAAGGGAAUUUUUUGAUAUUUGCGUUCGGAAGACCCCGGCAGCUGAUGCUUAAGAUGGAUCCAAUAGUCAAGCAAGUCUAACCUAGUACACAUACGAUAACGACGUUGGACAACCUGGCCAAAAUGCCGACUGAAGAUAAAGUUCAACACUUGCUUCGGUUAUACAAACAUUGUGUACAUUGAAAGGUAGUAUCUGUGAGAGAUCAAAGCAACCUGCGUAAAUUUACAGUUAGCUUAUUAAUAAAACAAAUGUA